rnacentral:rRNA from 1 species
UGAUUAUAAAUUAAUGUAAAUUUACCAGAGUACUAUGAACAUGUAGUUUAAAACUCAAAGGGCUUGGCGGUGCUUUAGACUCUUCAGGGGAACCUGUCUCGUAAUCGAUAGUCCACGAUAUACCUAACCUUUUUUAGACAUCAGUAUGUAUACCGUCGUCGUCAGGUAACUUUUAAAAAUAAAGAAGUUAGCAACAAAAAUUAGAAUAAUUUUGUACGUCAGAUCAAGGUGCAGCUCAUAAAAAGGUGAGGAUGGGUUACAAUUAAGAAUUAUAAUAACGGAAAGAGGUUUGGCAUAACCUCUAAUG